UAAUACGAAGGGAGCUAGCGUUGUUCGGAAUUACUGGGCGUAAAGGGCGCGUAGGCGGCUUGGCAAGUUGGGUGUGAAAGCCCAGGGCUCAACCCUGGAACUGCACUCAAGACUGCCUUGCUUGAAUUCGGUAGAGGUUGGUGGAAUUCCCAGUGUAGAGGUGAAAUUCGUAGAGAUUGGGAAGAACACCCGUGGCGAAGGCGGCCAACUGGACCGACAUUGACGCUGAGGCGCGAAAGCGUGGGGAUCAAACAGGAUUAGAUACCCUGGUAGUCCACGCCGUAAACGAUGCAUGCUAGACGUUGGAGGGCUUAGCCCUCUUGUGUCGCAGCUAACGCACUAAGCAUGCCGCCUGGGGAGUACGGCCGCAAGGUUG
rnacentral:rRNA from 1 species